UUUAUGACUGCAAUCAGAUAUUCUACCAGGUUUUCUCUUAUCAUAGGAUAACCAGAAAACAGAUGACCCAGAAGUGGAUAGGGGGAGAAACAUGCAUGGGGAUAAUAUAUACAGAUAAAUAAUAUAUAGGGGUUUCACCUGCACUUAUUCAUAACCAAAAGCUUUAGAAUAAAUGCUGUAUCAAUUUUAAAAUGCAGAUAACUUUGCAAGCGCUAGUCAAAUUAAUAUAUAAAC